GACGAACGCUGACGGUGUGCUUUAGACAUGCAAGUCGAACGAGAAAGCCCUUCGGGGUGAGUACAGUGGCGAACGGGUGAGUAACACGUGGGCAAUCUGCCCCUCGCAGGGGGACAACCGUGGGAAACCGCGGCUAAUACCCCGUAAGCUCGAAAGGCCGCAUGGUUUUUCGAGGAAAGGUAGCUUCGGCCAUCCGGCGAGGGAUGAGCCCGCGGUGCAUUAGCUAGUUGGUGGGGUAACGGCCCACCAAGGCGACGAUGCAUAGCUGGUCUGAGAGGAUGAUCAGCCACACUGGGACUGAGACACGGCCCAGACUCCUACGGGAGGCAGCAGUCGGGAAUCUUGCGCAAUGGGCGAAAGCCUGACGCAGCAACACCGUGUGUGUGACGAAGGCCUUCGGGUCGU
rnacentral:rRNA from 1 species